AAGUCGGUGGUGCAGCGCGGCGCACACGGGCCUUCCGUCAAGAAACAUCAAGAGAAGCGCGUGAGACUAAUCGGGGUUCGACUCCCUGCCGACGUA